GCAUUGUAACUAAUACAAGUCUCUCUAUGUAUUCAUUUGGGCCUAACUUGGGCAGGUGGCUGGCGUAAAGCUUACACAUGGCAGUGGGGCUCAGCGGCUUUUGGCAGAAAGAUUUAUUGUAACAUUUAUUGUAACAGAGGACAGCAUUAUGAACUUAUUUAACAGCAUUGCAGAUACAGUACAGUAAGUCAAGGUUUCUUUAGGUCUUCAGAAUAGCAUGGUGCACAAAAUUCUGAAAUUCACAAAAUUUUAUAUUAGGAACACAGGAUUGAAGCACUUCUUCAAUAUUUCAAAAUAAUGAUUAAUGUGAAGGUUGUGGUACUAAAAUCAAAGGUAUACAAAAAAUCUUAAGGUAUAAUUUAAGUUUGAUUAUAUGAAAAUAAACAAAUAUCUCUAUGGCAUUUAAUAUCUUACAUACAUCAUCAAGAAAAGAGAAGUAUUUGAUUAUUUUGCAGUUAAAAUUAAGUAGUGUGUGAAUUCUACCCCUUGCCUAAACUUUAUUCUGUGUAACAUAAUUAACAUAAUAACUCUUUGCUGUUUCUAAGUGUGCUUGCCUGCAUCUUAAGUCCUGAAUUCCAGUAUUCUACCUUCCUGUUUGUGUUAAUUUUCUCAUGUAUCUUAAACAAAUUUUGAUCAUUAAUUUGUGUAAUUUACCUAUAAUGACAUGGACAAGUAAUCCCAACUAUUCAACAGUCUCCUUUAGAAUGAGAAACACGAUCUAAUUUAGUGUAGGUGUCAUCGAGCCCAGAGAAAACAAAUUACAUCAGAGUGAGGAGUGUAAUUACUUAACAAAUAAAUGGCCCUCAGCUGACAGAGUAGGUAUCUAAGAAUGGUCUCUUCUUCACUACAUCAAUUAUAGGUAAGCUGAGUGAAAAGCUUCUAGCUUUAUGGAGAAUGGUAUCCAGAAUAGAUUAAUGGCAUUCAAUUUAAAACCAUCAGUUUAUCCAGUCAAUCAAUACAAAAAUCAUGCAUAUGCUGGAACAGAUAAACAUUUCUUAAUGUUUUUCUCAGUCUUGCCUCUAAUUGUUAUAUAUACUUAGGAUAGAUAGUAAAUUACCUUUCUUUUCUCAGGGUAGAAAGUGCUUUGGUUCAACUUAAGUUGAGAAACAGAUUCAGUAUACAACAAAAUGCCUAACACUGUUUUCAACAUCUAAGAGAUUAAUCUACUGAAUGAAAUAGCAUCUUGAAAGUACACAGCUCUCCAAGAAGGUCCUGGGUUUUGGGCAAGUAAGGCCUCCCUUGCUGCUGCAUUUCUGAGUGAUUCUAGUGAGCAUAGGAGAAGCAACACAUUUCUUCAUCAGUGAUUGACUGUCAGAUACUCUUGAACAACAUGUGGAGCUAAAAUGUCUUAAUAGGGAUUUCGACCUAUCUGCUACAUACUGAGAACAAAUAAGCCAAGGAUAUUAAACAUAAAAUAUAUUCAAGAAGACUGAAAGCUCCAAAAAGGGUUUGACUCAAGUCCUCUGGUUCAAGGUUUGAAGUCAAGUCCCCAGCCUUAUGGAGAAAGCAGUUUUACACACUAAUACAUCCCAUAAACUCUUAUUUUAAUAAUAUAUAGAAUAUAGAUUAAAAUGCAUAAUUAUAUGACAAUGUGCUAGUCGAAAGCAUGUUUUAUGACCAAAAGUUAGCCAUGGCCUAAAAUCUGUUAAAUGAAAAAGUCAGAGCAAUAUCAGCUGCAAUAGAGGUCACUGAGUACAGUCAUCACAACUUCCUUUCUUUUAUGUGGAAUCUGAAUGCCCUGUUUUAUAUUGAGCAUUCAUUAUUUGCAACAGAGGAAAGAAGAGCAGACUGAGUCAAGCAGAGCAUACAUUUGCCAAGUAUGAGAUUUUAUGGCAUCUCGUAGACAUGACAUUCUCAUUCCUAAUCUCUUCAUCAGUACCAGAAGGCACUAUAUCAUCAACAGCCGAGGGCUGUGUGGGGAAGAGGGCUUGCAAAUGCCUCCCACAGAAAUCCUGCUUUCUCACUUAAGAGCUAAAAGAACUGAAAACAGGAUGUGGAGAUAACACCAAGGUCCUUGCCCUCUCAAACCCAUUACAGUAUUGUUCAAAAGAGAUGCCUCAGGGAAAUAACCAAGAUGUCUACUGAUGGGGCAAUGGUAAAUAAGAGUCCUCUGGGUGCUAAAAUUAAGAAAAGCCUCCUAAUUGUAACAAUGUGGGUGCACCUUGGGGACAUUCUGCUAAGUAAAUUAAGCCAACCAUGGAGGGACAGAGAGUACAGAGUCCCACCCACUUUUGUAAGGCAUAUAGAGUUCAACUCAAAGAAAUUCUUUUGGAAUAAUGAUACCAGAGGCUGCAAGAAGCACAAUCAGAAGACAGUAGGAAAAUUUUAGUCAUGGAAUGUGAAAAAUCUCACAAAUACCUAACAACUGGCAUACAGUUAGUAAUAUUAAUAGCAGUAAUAAUACAUAUUAAUAGUUACUUACUGCUAUUUGGUUUUCCAAUAAAAUGAAUUUUCACUAUUAGUGUGCAGUUUUAAAAUAUUCAGUUAUUUUCCUAUAGACGGACAUAAGUGAAUCUCUUAAGUGAUUGAUACUUAAUGACUGAAGUAAGUUAUUUUAUACUUCUAAACCAGCAAUAUACACAUUAUUUAAAAAUCAAAUUUUAACAAGUUUGUCUGGUGGAGGAAAACUGAGAGCAUAUCUCUUGAGAAAUGUCACUUUGCCAGUAUUUAGAUCUUGGAUGAGUUUCAAAGGAUGCGGUCACCUGUGUAAUGUUUCAAGGGUGAGCAACAGAGAGCCUCUGACUCUUUGAGGAGUUCAAGAUUGGCUGCAUGCACAUCUGGAGAUACUCUGUCUUGUUGUCAUUUUCACUGUUAUUACUGCCUUUUAAAGCAGUUGUCAAUCCAAUUGCCACUUAUCACCUAGCAAAUUGUUAUUUCAUAUAAACAGUUUUCAUAGUCUCCCCUUGUCUUUUAUAAAAGUGGCAUGUAUACCAUUAUGUUUCUAUUAUAGAAGCAAAGAAAGAGAGGCAUACACAAAUACAGAAAACAGAACAGAAAUCAAACCUCCUGACUCACUAUAGUAUGUCAUGCUUUUUUUUCCCCUCAGUACCUUUUCUUCUUCCUUAUUUCAUCCUGUGAGAUUUGGAAAGAGAUUGGGAUAUCAAAUGCCAAUGUGGUCACAAAAUGUGGAGUUUUGUGUGGGAAAUAUCUUCCUCAAAUUUCUCUGUAAUGUGCCUAAGCAAGUGCAAAUUUUUAAACUGAUACAAAAUGAAUGGUACCAAGAGUUUAGCCUGGAGAGACCUUGGACGAUGGAGUUGAUUGUUUCAUCUUUUGGGCACUCAUACUGUUCUUCCUUCUCAGGAACCUGAGGUUUUAUGCAAAAGAAGCGACUUUAAAAAUGUCCUUUCAAGUCCUCUAGUCAAAUUUAUUAAAUAUAAUGCAUUGUGGGUGCAGUUAUGUUUUCAGAAUGCAGGAUGUGACGUGUAAGUUAGAAAGUAUAGUUGCAAACUGUGCGAACAUUAGUAAGUCUGUUUGAAGGCUAAAAUACUGAAAUCAUUGUGUUCCACAGAUGUACAGCCUUUGACUAUUUAACAGUUUGUUUUUAACAACAGCAUGCUUCUCAACACAAAUCUGAACUCAUUUCUGUAUUAUCUAAUGUGAUAUUGUUAAAAUGCUUCGUUCCUUUUAUCAAUCAACGAAAUGUCAAACUAUUAAAAUUUAUGCUGACAGAAGUCUCUAUGUUCCACUUCUAAUCAGGCAUUAAGAAUGAUAUUCACUGAAAGUACUACAUGCGAUUUGAAUAAGAACAAAGUAUAUUUUGCUAAUUUUGUUUUCCUAACAUUAUCUGUUCCAGUAAUUGCACCCUGAGAUUAUGAUUGAAAGGCAAUAACAGGCUAUUCCUUACCCAAAUCCAUAUAAAUCUAUGUGUUUGUCUGCCUUUUACAUUCUCUGGAUAUUCUCCCUGUUUUCUCUUCUGAAGUGCAAGGUAUCACAUACUUGCCUGAUGCAGUGAAAUUUAAGAAUUUCAGUAUGAAAUCAUAGGAGCCAUCCCUACUGGCAGUCAGCACAAGUUGCUCUUUUAUAGCUUCCCUCUUUCCCUAAACUUAUUUUUGAAAGCUAUAACACUGGCACUGCUUAUUUCAAUAAUAGCUUUGUAUGUAAUUAUUUAUAUCCAUUCAGUCGUAUGUUAUUGUUACCUUCAUCUAAAUAUUGUAUUCAGAUAUUUUACUCAUAUCUUCCUUUUUCACACUACCAUCACAUAUUACAAUAAUAUACUCCAUCAUUUUAAUAGGGUAUCCUACUAAUGUUAAUAAUUAUUGAAUCCUUAAGAUACACAUUUGCAGCAUGAAAUCUAUAAUGUGUAGCUUUAUUUCAGGUCAAAACAUCUGUCUAAGAAAUGGAAAGAUGAUUAAUUUUCCAUUUGUUUGGGGACAGAGCACUAUUUAUAAAGCAAACAGACAAAUCACUUCAAACAGAGAGGGCACUGAACAGCAAGCUAUGUACUUCUUCAAUCAAUACCCCAUGACCUUUCAAGAUGAAAGGGUGAUAGUCUUCCACCAAGGAAGGAGAGGGAGCAGUUCUUUGCACUGCUUAUGAGAUAUAGAGGUCUCUUGGUUAUGCAGAAAACAGGAUACAAUAGAAACUUCAGAAAACACUAGAGUGGACUCAUGGCUACACAUUUUUCUAAGCUUCCCAUUCACUACCAGUUUUCAUCUUUUCAUAAGCCCUUCUGUUCCCCAAACUAAGGACACAUUCUGUUUAUUGUGUGCCUGUAUCCCCCCUCCCCUUGUAUUCAGCUGUGUGUCUAUGCCCUCUUCACAGUACAAGUAAUAGCUCUAAAUCAAGAGCCCAAUGCAUGCCUCACUCAUUCAGCGCUCUGGGGAUCAUAUGACAGAGUGCGGAGAAUGUGAGGGAGGUCCCCAACAACAAAGCAGGAUAUUAUUUCCAGUGAAGCCUUGUGGCUAUGUGCACCUCUGUAGCAAGAACAAUUAGUCUUUGUUUUUCCUCUGAUCCUAAGAGUCAGCUUGACUGUCCCAUUGCAAAAGCUCAAAGGAGUUCUCAUAGCUUUUCUAAAGCCCCUGAGACUGAACAGAAACCACUCCAUCCUUAGAUACCUAGGACAUGUGUUUAGAAAAAUAUGAGGGUUUUACUAAUUCACUAGCCAAAAUCAUUAUGUUUCCAAAUGAAGUGUAAUUACCAUGGCAAAUACAUGAUUUUAAAAAGGUGAAAUAACUAAAGUAUAAUAAAAGUACUUUCUAUGAUCAACAAAAAAUGCAAAGGUUGGAGUCACAAGUCUAAGUCUUUGGCCCAGGGUUGUGCCAUUUCUUUAUAGACUCAUAGAUCUCAGAAGUUUUUAAGGUAAUAUUUUAGAAAUCAAUCUGCACUAUAUUUAAUGGCUUUUUACAAACUUUUGAGAAUGUAUUCACUUGUAUUUAUUUGCUUUUCAGAGUUAAUAGACCCAUACUCUAACAUGAAAGACUGUGAAACUGCAGUGUUAUGUUAGAAUGUGGUAUAGACAAAGGUACAUCCUUUAUACAGGACUGUAACUUAUAGUUUAGUAUUCUCUAAGGAGGUCCAGGUGACUUGUGAUACUUGCCAAUAAGACUAACAUAUUUACACCUAAGACAAAGCAAUUGUUAAGAGUCACAAUUCAGAGUAUUGAAACUGAUUAGUCCCUGGCAUCCUUCUUACUCGAGAACUGCAGUAUCAAUACUAACACAAAUUCCUCAGUGUUGAUGAAGUGACUAGACAGUUGUAAAUGUCGAACCUAAAGUUUGGUGGCAUCUCUUCAUAUUUGAAGGCAGUGAGAAAAUACUAACAAUUUUCACAAAAUCAAGAAACAUCUUCUGAGAUGGCAAAACAUUCAGAGUCUUUCAUACAACUAUUACAAAAUCACCAGGGAUUCUUGGUAAAGGGUUAGAUAAAGAAUUAUAAAUUCUUGAAACUGUAUUGAAACAAUGUUUCUAAUUUGAAAAAAUAACAUUCAAUAAAAAUAUGUUAAAAUUAA